ACAUUUCAUAAUUUCAAUUCAAAAUAAUGCUAACCAUUACCAUCUAGUAGUGGCAUUUUUUUAUCAAAUAUACAUACAUUGUCUAAAACAUAUAUCUUAAUAAUUUACAUCGGGUUUGUCUAUACACAACAAAAAGGGAUACUCGACUUCCAGCCGAGAGACUUGGCGAAAGUUCAGCUAUUGAAUGCUGAGAUACCUACCAAGGAAACGAAUCUACAAGGACACCUCGACCUAGUUACCGGCUGCC
rnacentral:lncRNA from 1 species